AAGUCGUAACAAGGUUUCCGUAGGUGAACCUGCGGAAGGAUCAUUAACACAUCCAAAUAUUCUAUUAUACACCGUCGCACUGUAAGCGCACCGUACACGUUGAGAGCCUCCUUAGUAACUUGUCGGACUGAUCGUUUAAGACGUGAUGAUAGGCGCCGCUCUGUCGGGUCCGAAAGGGCUUGCGAUACGACCGUGCUGAUGCUUCACGGAUUUCCGAUGGGUGUGAGUGUCCGUUAAUUCGGCGCUUGGGAGCACGUGCGGAAGAGGUUAGAAACGAUAUCGACCAUUUUCUUUUUAACUUGUCGUUUGUACUGAUUUCGGCAUCGGAUUGAGAAGGUUCGCCUUUUCUCUGGGGCCUGUCGAUGGAGAAAUCCAUCGUACGAACUAAUAAACACAACUCUUAACAGCGGAUAUCUCGGUUCUC
rnacentral:misc_RNA from 1 species